AACAAGCAUAGUACGUCAUUUUGUUUAGCAACGGCUUUUAUGAUGAAUGUUCAGUGGAGAACCUUCGGGGAAAAUAUACAAUAUGCAUAUCCAGUGAGAGCUCCUUCCUUUUUAACAGUUACGCAGACGUGGGAAAUUUCAGCAGACAUGGUUUUCUCUCCUCCUGCUUGGCAAAGUGCGCCUGUCCAAAUGCCUUCUGCUGUCCAGCUGUUUGAGGCCCAGGAUCUUUGCUGUCUUCCUUUGCACCUGGCCACUUUAGAGAGCAAGAGGAGCAGAAAGGAAAACCUCAGGGGUAAAAAGUAAACGUUGCAGUGAAGAGAGGGAGACAUUGGAGGUUGUUAUUUGUUUUCAAUCUGUGAUGUUUUAAUAGCUAUCGGUAAGCCAUCUUGAGCCAAGAGAAAAGAUGCGCUGGCUCCCUCCCUCCGAGGCUACUUCUCAGGGCUGGAAGUCCCGUCAGUUCUGCUGAAUACUGUAUACCAGGUGUGUGAUGGCGGCUACAAUCUGUCUUGUGGGUAUUAAAGUGUUCUUCCUAAGUCGCUAUCAGUAUCUUACCUUCAUCUGCGAAAAUACAGUGUGGUGGGUAAGUUGACACACUGUUUUGAACAUCUUUCCUGUUUCCGGCAAGCCAAAGAUUCUUAUUAGCUAAACAACGUGACCAAGGGUUUGGGCCUUGUUUUUUAUCUUAAUCAUUGCUUUGAGCCAAGAGAUGCGCUCUUUGCAUGUGCCUUCUUUGACUAAAACCAAGCUGACAGUACUAAUCAGAAACACCUUGUGCUGGGAAACAGGGCCAGGGACCAUGAGCUUGCUGCUGUCAAGUUAAUAUAGAUUUGACUUCCGAAGCUGAAUUAUAGCCCUGCCACUUUUCCUAUAGAAGGCUGGCCUUUGGAUUUAGCUACAUUCACAUUUUAUUCUGGGUACGUUAUGAGCUGAAGCUGUGUGAACUAGCAAGCUGCUCGGGUCUGAUACUUUUAGCCACUUGUAUAAGAAGACUAAUGAUGUAAGAAUGCUUAUGUCACUGCCAGGGUAUAUAUUCAAGAAACACACUAAGAAGCCAGAGUAUACAGCAGUGAUGGCGAACCUUUUUGAGACCGAGUGCCCAAAU